AGGAGGAGUUAAGUAGACUGAAUAAUGAAGAAUGAUGGGAAGGUAGAGAUGGUGGGAUGGGGAGGGGUUGAGAGAAGCUGAGAACUCAAAGGUUGCAUCUCCCCAGAAGAAGACACUGAAACAAGGAUUUCAGUGCAAGUUGUUUCAUGGGAGACUUCAAGAAGCAUCAGGGUCGAUCCCAGCACUUUGGGAGGCCAAGGACAUCUUUCAAUAGCUCCUGGCCAACUGGCAGCAGAAUUUUCCCUUCCUGUGCAUGAAUGACCUUGGAUAUUAUUCUUGGUGGCAUGACUGGACACCUGCAGCCUCUUGAUGUUUCCAGUCAAAAAGGAAUAAAAGUCUCCAAAGGGACGAGAAAUGAACCAUUAUGACCAGGUUCUUCUCCAUAUGGCUGAGUGUCCAUUUAAGCAUCCAGAGCCAGUUCCACAGCAGGCGACAGGUGAUCCCAGGAAAUACCCAGCUGCUGAAACAGGAUGUGCAUAUGAAAUACAACAGCUUAGACCGGC